rnacentral:rRNA from 1 species
UACGUAGGGCGCGAGCGUUGUUCGGAGUUACUGGGCGUAAAGGGUGUGUAGGCGGUUUCUUAAGUUUGGUGUGAAAUCUCCCGGCUCAACCGGGAGGGUGCGCCGAAUACUGAGUGACUAGAGUGCGGGAGAGGAAAGUGGAAUUCCUGGUGUAGCGGUGAAAUGCGUAGAUAUCAGGAGGAACACCGGUGGUGUAGACGGCUUUCUGGACCGUAACUGACGCUGAGACACGAAAGCGUGGGUAGCAAACAGG